AGUUUUAAUAUUAAUCCAUAAAUCCACCAUUUUAGUCCAUGAAUCCACCAAAUGACACUUAGGUUGUUCCCAUAGCUUGGCUAUUAUGAGUAAGGCUGCCGUGAACAUGGGAGUGCAGGUACCUCUAUCAUGUGCUGGUUUCGUUUCCUUUGGAUAUAUAUCCAACAGAAGGAUUACUGGGUCAUAUGGCAUUUCUAUUUUUAAUUUUUUACGGAAUCUCCAUUCUGUUUUCCAUAAUAGCUGCCCCACCAAUAGUGUACAAAGGUUCCCUUUUUUUUCCACACCCUCAUCAACACUUGCUAUCUUUUGUCUUUUUGGUAACGGCCAUCCUAAGGAGUGUGAGGUCAUAUGAUUUGGAAUUGCAUUUUCCUGGUGAUUAGUAAUGUUGAGCUUCUUUUUAUAUACUUGUUGGUCAUUUGUAUAUUUUCUUUUAAAAGAUGUCUAUUCAGGUCCUUUGCCCAUUUUUAAACCACUUGAGUUUUUUUGUUGUUGUUGUUAGUGAGUUAUGUGCAUUUAUUAUAUAUUUGUGAUAUUAACCCCAAUCAGAUAUAUUGUUUAGAAAUAUAUUCCCCCAGUCCUUAGAUAGAAAUAAAUGGAAAUAUAUCCUUUGUCCAUGGUUUAGAAGAAUUAAUCAUUAAAAUGUUCAUCCAAAGCAGUAUGUAGAUUCAACGCAUUCCUAUUCAAAAUUGCAAUGACAUUUUUAACAAUUCUAAAAUUCAAAUGGAACACAAAAGACCCAAAAUAGCCAAAGCAAUCUUGAACAAGAAGAACAAAGCUGGAGGCAUCACACUUCUUGAUUUCAAAUUAUACUGCAAAGUUAUAGUGAUCAAAAGAGUAUGGUGCUGGCAUAAAAACAAACAUCUAGACCAAUGGAACAAAAUAGUGAGUCCAGAAAUAAGUCCAAACAUAUAAGGACUACUCACUUUCAGUAAGGAAACCAAUGAUACUCAACAGAGAAAGGAUAGUCUCUUUAAUAAAUGCUAUUGGGAGAACUGGGUAUGCACAUGCAAAAAAAGGAAAUUGAACUCUUAUCUUACGCCAUACACAAAUAUCAACUCAAAAUGGAUUAAAGACUUCAGUGUAAGACUUGCUGUAAAAUUCCUGGAAAAAAAGAUAGGGAAUGAGCUCCUUUACAUGGGCUUUGGCAGUGAGUUUUGGGUUAUGACACCAAAAGUUCAGGCAACAAAAGCAAAAAUAAACAAGUAGGGCUACAUCAAACUAAAAAACCUUACUUACUUUUCUAGAAAGAAAAUCAUCACUUACAACUUUCUUAUGUUUUAGCAUUAUGAAGUUUCUUUAAAACUCCCAAAGCACUUCACAUGUUUUCUCGCCUCAGUGACUUUGCACACGCCAUUGUCUUGUUUCUCUGCUGCCAACAGUGGUCUCUAUUGUUUGCCCAGCAAAUUGCUGACUGUCCUUUAAAACCCAGAACAGAAUUCAUUCCUUCAAGAAGAGCUGAUCAUUCCUUCAUCUGUGCAACCCUGCCUAUUAUCCAUAGGUGUUUUAUUUUAUUAUGCAGUCCUAAAAAUGGUGCUGCUGAACUUUUCUUUCUAUGAAAAAAAUGUUCUUUGUGUAUUAUUCAGGAAACUAAGCAUAUGACAAAUACAGUGUGUGUGUUUAUCUUUACAUGUAAAGUUAUCGAGAAGAAUUUAAAUUGAGAUUUUAGCUGUACUCACAGUUGAUUCUGAUUGGCUUUUUUUUUUUUUCUGAAUGUCUUUACUCCUGUGGACUUUAAAGUAGUAAAUGUGUAUGACUUCGGUAAUAUUUUAAGGUUUAAGAAAGCAAUCUAUUCACUCUUGGAAAAGGUGAAUUUAAUGGUGCAAUUGCCACCUUUGGUGAACAAUUAAAAGCAGAAUUGAAAGAAUGUUGACCAUGAGGUAAUCUCAUUCGAUCUGCCAAGGGAUAUUUUUUGCUGUGAGGGCUGGGUGUCUAGUGACAGUAAACCGUAGUCACAGAUAAGGAGAGAGGGUGGUUUUCAGUUGGAAGGAGGUGGUAUCACAUGACUACUCUCUGUUGGAAUGAGGAGAGAGAAUUGAGCUUCACAGAGAAGGUUUAGUUUUGAAGUGUAACUAGAUUCAAUACAAUUUCUUCAUUUUUGUGUUUUUUUCUUUUCAAUAAUAUAUUUCCUAGGUGCUUAAGUGAAUAUUUUCAGAAAUAGAACAAAUAACCGAAGUUUUAAAAUAAGGAUAUUCAGAUAAAAGUGAGGUAAAAGAAUAUCAUCUGGGCCCCUUGUGGAAGAGUCCCCUGGCAUUGCCACGCAUGAUGGGAGCCCUCCAGGGGAAGCCCCACAGCCAGAGCCUUGUCUUCUCUGGCCAUGCACUAGUGCAGCAUUUGACAUGAUUUUUUUUUCUUUUUAUUUUUUUGAGAUGGAGUUUUGCUCUUGUUGCCCAGGCUGAAGUGCAAUGGUGUGAUCUUGGCUAACUGCAACCUCCACUUCCUGGGUUCAAGCAAUUCUCUUGCCUCAGCUUCCUGAGUAGCUGGGAUUACAGGCAUGGGACACCACGCCCAGCUAAUUUUGUAUUUUUAGUAGAGAUGGGGUUUCUCCAAGUUGGUCAGGCUGGUCUCAAACUCCUGACCUCAGGUGAUCUGUCUUGGCCUCCCAAAAUGCUGGGAUUACAGACAAGAGCCACCUCACCCAGCCUUGACCUGAUUUUUAACCAGUGCUCUCAGAGGUGGCUGAUUAGCUCUUACCACAGCGACGUCAUCACUUUUGUCAAAACCAAAAGAUAAUUGGUAGGGACGGCAGUACUUCCACAGAGUGUUAGUAGGACACAAACCUGGCUGCACCCUCCCUAGGCUCUGUGGUUCUAGUCAUCAGUCCCUUAUGUGCACUUGUUGGCAGGUACUUGAUAUACUCUGCUCUUAUGUAUUUGCUUAUAUGUCUUCUGGAUCAUGAGCUCCUUGAAGGCAGGGGCUGUUGCUGAAACAAUCUUUAUUUCAAAGUCUGCCAUGUGGUCAUAGCAGUUAAAUAUUUAAUCUAGUGUAAAUUAAUCAUUUAAUUUAAUUUAACUUUGUGGUGCCAUAAACCAGACAUCAUCUAGUGUCAGCAUGCCUUGAUUAAAGCUACAGAGUUUUGGAAGAAAUAGAAUUUGUGUAACUCUCAGUCUUGAUGAUUUGCUUUUCUCCAAAGUAAUAAGAUGUAUCUGCAAGUAUAACUUGGAGAGUGGGGAGCUCUCAGAUUCUCAUUCUUCUCCUUGGCAUUCUUUUGGGCUUUUGGGAAGAGCAGCACUUGGUCAGACCAGUCAUUUUUCUUUCAGUGUGAAGAAACUAAUCCUCGCUGGAGGCUGACUUUGACAGAAAAUCACUGCGAGUGCCUGGAACGUGGGUUCUGAGUAGGAGUCCAUGAGGGCUAGUUACUAAGGAAGAAACAGUGGAGAGAGGCAAGUGUCAGGAUCAGGAGGGCAAAGGUUGAGAUGGGCCUGCUUUCCUAGUUCAACUGCAGUCUAGCGAUGUCCAAGAACAUUUGGACAGUCAUCUCAGACAGGAGCCCAGUUAUAUUCUCUGAAUUUGACUAAAUUUGGGGACAAAAAAAUAUUUGACAAACUACCUGUUAGAAAUAUUUUCUGUGCCCAUGUAGGCAAGGGUGACACAUGCAGCAUUGAGUGAGUGAACAGGCAGGUGCAUGUAGUUCUGCACAGUCAUUCUCAACUAUUCUUCCCUAUUCUGUGAUGGAUAGUACUCACACGUGGUACACUAUCUCUCCCAGUAAAGCACACAGAGGCUGGAGGCUGGAGGAUAUUCCCUGUGGAAUAGCUGUAAUUCUGCGUUGCCCUCUCCUCUUCCAGGGAACAUGUUGGAACACAUGGAAAAGAUGUCAUAACAGAUGGAACUUAAAUGCAGGCUGAGAAGCUCACAUUUCCAUUGAAAGCAGUUUUCUCGCUAAGGCUGGAGAUGAGCAGACUUUAUAUUUUUGUACCUGAAGUUUUGUACCUACUGAAAUAGACCCUUUUGCUCUCAAUGGUCCCUCUUAGUGAUGUUGCUGUAGAUCAAGUACCCCACUCACUGUUCUGAAAGAAGAAUGUGUCAUCCAUGUCAGCCUAGCAGGAGUCUGGGACACAGAAACCUUGCUGUGUAUGGUUAGGCAAAAUGUAUCUCUUAUGUAUUGAUUUGAUUCUGCUUUAUGUUUUUUCCUAGAAGCCAAGGACUUUUCUGGAAGAAAGAGAAAUAGAACACAAAUAUCAUCUCUGAAGUUUACAAUAAUUAACUAGAAUCUGUUUGAUGCAUUAGAAGGGUGGCAAAUAAAACCAGCUACCAAGAAAGGUCAACAGGGUACCCUAGGAGGAAACUCACCAUCAGGGAGGGAUCUAAAUGAGUGAUUUGGAUGUAACCCAGAGCCUAGAUAUUCUCAGAAAAAGGCUGGAUCAAGACACAAUUUGUGGCUGUACCGUACCCUUUCCUGAUGCAGUUCCCAUUAUUUUACUCUUUCCUCCUAUCUUCUACUGGGAAGAUAGCUGCAUGUAUGCAAACUCAAAGAGCUGUUGUCUCAGAGCCCAGAACUGUUGGGUGUUGCGUCCUGUGGCUGUUGCUGUAGGACACCCCUGGUCGAGUGUACUAUUAAAGAGUCAAACACUUUCAUCUGUUACAGAGAAACAUUGAAGGAUCAAUGCUGUAGACAGCAUAUUACACAGGGUUGCUGGAGUGCCAGCUGUGCAAGGAUGGCUGGGCCUUGGUUACCAUGGUGAUUCCUUGGGCAAGCAGAGCCCAGCUUAGAGCUGUGGGAUCACACUGGCUUACUGCUCGCUGGGUCCCAGCAGAACACGGGGCUUGCACCACCUGCCCAGAAGUGAGCAGAUUAGAGAUCAGCUGUCGUGGGCACAGCUGGUUUUGUGUUCUCCAGACAGAUGGCAGCAGCAGGGAAACACCAAGGAGAGCUGAUUAUUCAGGAGUAUAAACUACAGUAGAGAGUCUUAGCAUGACCUGGAUAGAAGUCCAGAAUAAAAUCUCACUUUCCAACCAUGUGCUUGGGGACAUUGUCAUUACAGUUUGAAUACUGGAGGAAAUAUGACUGUGUUUUCAUUAAUGAACUAAUAAGUUGAUUCAUUUUUUAUUGUAUAUAUUUAUAGUGCACAACAUGAGGUAUUCAUACAUGUAGUGAAUUUAUUAUUACAGGUAAGUAAAGUAUAGGUACUUAACUUGGAGUACCUUUACUUUUAUAGCAUGAAAUACUACCCAUUCUUUAAAAAGAAUAAAAUCAUGUCCUUUGCAGGAACAUGGAUAUAAUUGGAGGUCAUCAUCCCAAGUUAAUUAAAGUAGAAACAAAAAACCAAAUACUGCAUGUUCUCACUUAUAAGUCAGAUCUAAACACUGGGCACUUAUGGAAAUAAAGACGGGAACAAUAGACACUGGGGACUGCUAGAAACGGGAAGAGAGGGCAAGAAGGACUGAAAAGCUACCUAUUGGGUACUAUACUUACUAUCUGGGUGAUGGGAUCAUUUGUACUUCUAACCUUGGCAUCAUGCUAUAUACCCAUGUAACAAACCUGCACAUGUACCCCUGAAUCUAAAAUAAAAGCUGAAGUUAUUUUUAAAAGUGAUGAAUAAAAGGAUGAGAGAGAAAUAUCAUUAAUUGCAUGUAUAGAUGAGAUAACUGAUACUUAGAAUAAUUUGUCCAAUAUCAUACAGCAUAAGCAAAACACUGUCUUUCUGAUUGCAUUUUUGUACUAUGGUACAUUAUCUAGAGACAUGCCUCAUUCAAAUACAUAAUGCAUUAAAUGUUAUAAUUUAUGUAGAAUAGUGUAUUACUUUCAUGUUACAAUUUUUUUCAGUUAAGAUGAAUCUAGUAAACAUAAAAUUAAAGUGAUUUAAUUAUAUGUAAACAUUUUCAUUUUAAAUGCUUAAUAUAAAAUUCACCCCCUUACCAAAUUUUCAAUAUACAAUACAAUAUUAUUAACUGUAGUCUCCCUGCUGUACAUCAGAUCUCUAGACUUGUUCAGCAUACAUCAUAGCAUUUGGACUCUUUGACCUGCAUGUCCCCAUUUCUUUUUCUUUCCAGCCCCUGAUAACCACCAUUCUAACUCUCUGUUUCUAUGUAUUUGACUUUCAUUUGGAUUCUACAUAUAAGUGAGAUCAUGUAGUAUUUUUCUUUCUGUGAUUUUGUUUAUUUCACUUAGCACAGUGUCCUUCAGGUUCAUCCAUGUGGUAGCAAGUAGCAGUGUCUCCUCCUUUUUAUAAGGCCACUGAAUAUUCCGCUGUAGAUAUAUACCACAAUGUCUUUAUCUAUUCAUCCAUUGAUGGAUACUUAGGUUGUUUCCAUAACUUGGCUAUUGUGAAUGAUGCUGCAAUGAAUGUGAGAGUGCAGAUAUCUCUACCAGGUGCUGAUUUAAUUUCCUUUGUGGCAAAACCAGACGCAUAUAAAACUUCAAGCUCAGAAUAGCUCUACUUUGAGAUAGAAAUUGAGGAUAAGAAAGGGAACUUACACAGACAAUUAAUUUCUGGCCAGGAAAGACUUCAGGGGGCCAGCUAAGUUCACUCACAGAGGAAUAAGGAAAAUAUCACUUUCAGCUUCUAGGGAAACAGUGUCUUCUGUAUUAUUUCAGCUCUUAAUUUAGUUGAUUUUUGAAUUUCUCUUCUCUGCUUCUGACACUUAGGGUUUAUUAGGUCAGAGGACAAGUUGCAGAAGAAACAUUUUUGUUCUCCAAUUUGUGUGUGUGUGUGUGUGUGUGUGUGUGUGAUCUUAUGAUUAAGAUUGUCAAAGGGAAGAAAGUUAUAGGUUCUUUAAUAGCACAGGGAGGGCAAAAUGUACAUAGUUUUGAAGACCAUAUGACCUGGAUGACUGGAAAAAUGAGAAGGAAAUAAGAAACCAACUGUUACUGAGAGCCUGCCAUGUUUGACACUCUACAUAUUAUUUAAAAAAAUUCAUAUGACAUGAAAUCAUCUGCUCCUUGAGAACAGUGACCAUGUCUUGUUCAAUGCACUCUGUGCUGUGUGAGGUACAUGGUAGGUACUCAAUAAAUAUUUGUUGAGCUUAUACACUCUUGGUGGGAAUGUAAAUUAGUUUAGCCACUGUGGAAAGCAGUUUAGAGAUUUCUCAAAGAAAUAAAAAACAAACUACCAUUCUACCCAGCAAUCCCAUUACUGGGUAUAUACUCAAGGGAAAUACAUCCUUCUACAAACAAGACACAUACAUUCAUGUUCACUGCAGCACUACUCACAAUAACAAAGACAUGGAAUCAACCUAGGUACCUAUCAACAGUAAACUGGAUAAAGAAAAUAUGGUACGUAUACCAUGGAAUACUACACAUUCUUUAAAAAGAAUAAAAUUAUGUCUUUGCAGGAACAUGAAUGUGGCUGGAGGCCAUCACCCUGAGUGAAUUAACACAGAAACAGAAAACCAAAUAUUGCAUGUUCUCACUUAUAAGUGGGAGCUAAACACUGAGAACUCACAGGCAUGAAGAUGGGAACAAUAGUUACUGGGGACUACUAGAGGGGGAAAGGGAGAGAAGGACUGGAAAGCUGCCUAUUGGGUACUAUAAUCACUAUCUGGGUGUUGAGAUAAUUCGUACUCCUAACCUUGGCAUCAUCCUAUAUACCCAUGUAAGUAACCUGCCCGCCUACCCCCGAAUCUAAAACAAAAGUUGAAAUUAUUUUAAAAGACUUGAAUAAAAGGAUGAGAGAGUGAUAUCAUUAAUUGCGUGUAUAGAUGAGAUAAUUGAUACUCAGGAUAAUUUGCCCAAUAUCACACAGCAAAAGCUAAACACUAAGUCUUUCUGAUUAUAUUUUCAUAAUAUAGUACAUUAUUAUUAUUCAAAUAAGUAAUGCAUUGUUAUAAUUUAUGUAGAAUUGUGUAUUGGUUUUAUGUGACAAUUUUUUUCAUGAAGACAACCUAGUAAACAUAAAACUAAAUAUGAUUUAAUUGUAUGUAAGCAUUUUCAUGUAAAAAGUUCUACAAUUCAGAAAAU
rnacentral:lncRNA from 1 species